UUCUAGCUGGAGAUUACUCCUCUUGGAGCCCUUCUGUGAGCCCAGGACAUGGGUAAGAUCUUUAUUUCAUUUCUCCUGUGUAAAGUGGUAAUCUAUUUGGUCCAAUACCUGUUUGCUGUACACAUCAGAUCAAAAUUAUAACAGUUCUUCUACCUGCAAACCUGGAUUUUUCUAGGAUGGAAUCAUGACAAAUGAUAUGAUGCAAAACAGCUCCAAAUGAAACAGUUCUGAGUCCAACAUUUUUUUCUGGCCUAAAGAGACCUGAGAACAGUUUUUAUUAAAAAUAUAAAAAUCUCAUUUUAGGAAACAAUUUCCAGCCAUGAGAAAUACAAUCACUCAGCUGAAAUGAAGUGCUAUGGUGAAAUUCACUUUGUUUAUGCAUUAGUUGUAUUCUGAGGCAUAGUUUUUUGUGAAGAAAGUAGGUUGGGAUUGAACGCGAAUGAGAUCUAGCCUGUGUUAUGUAGAUUGCUUCAAAAGUAAUUCUCCUAUUUAUUUCCAUGGAAACUAUGAAUACAAAAACCACAAUAACACUAUUUGAUAGUGUUUCAUAACUGAGAAUUUGCUCUAUUUUUUAACAUAGCCACCACUAUUAGCUAUGCAUUUUCACACUUUUAAUUAUCUAGAGUCCUCAAGCUGCAUUUCUAAAAAUCCAUAUCAGCAGAGGUGACCCAUUGUUUUACAGCUGCCAUGUUGGUGUCCCUCCUAGGAAAAUGUCACCCACACAGUUUAUCUUUCAUCAGCCCAAACAGGUAGAAGUCAGAAGGUACCAAAUUUGAACUAUACACUUUGUAUGGUAGGACAGUCUAUCAAAGAUUGAUGACGUGCUUCACAGUUUGAAAACUGAUGUGGGGUCUGGCAUUAUCAUGCUGCAAGAGAAACACUAUCCUCUUCUCUGACCUGACUCAAGAAGUUAGAGUCUUCAGUUUAGUCAACAUUGUGAUGUAGCAGUCACAGCUGAUGGUUUGAGUUUCAAGAAAUCAAGAAGGACCACCCCUUUCCUAUCCCAAAAGACAGUACACAUCACUUUAACAACUGAGGACUGUAUAUUGAACUUUUUCACCUGUUGCCAGUCCAUGGGCUGUUGUUUUGACUCCAGCUUGUAGUGGUGACACCGCAUCAUAAAGAUUCUACAUAGAAAACUAUUAACCUCAGCCUCUUAUUGGUUUGAUAGAUCCUGACAAACUUGCAUACAGCGUUCAGUCUAUUCCUUAUGUGAGCAUCUGUGGGAUUCACCAGGUGCAAACUUUUCAAUAUUCCAAUGUUGUGAACAUCAUUUCCAACUCAGUGAAGCCAGUAUUCAACUAUGUACACAGUUUCCUGGUUGUAAUCCACUGAUUUCUAUGGAUGAGCUAAUCAAGAUCCUCUUCAUUUCAUGGUGUGACAUCUGCAUAUUGCUCCAUAUGUACUUCCAUGCCAGAUGCCAUUCUGUCAGACUGCCUCUCUGCUGCCAUCUGUCACACAGCAACAACAUGCAAUAGAAUAUUAGUGAGAAGGUUCUACCUCUGCUGUCAUAUCACCAACAUCUGCCUCUGAUGUCAUGGGCCAACAUAAUAAAAUAGGAGACAUUAUUUUCAGAGCAACCCUUUUAACAAUGGUAGAGUGAGACAUAUUUCUAGAAAUAACCACUAAACUCAUUUUAUCCUUAGGAGUAUCGGAGUACCUUUCCAUAAAUGCUUCCUACUCUUUUUUUUUUUCUUCCAUUGUCGUAAACUUCCUAAGAGACU
ensembl:lncRNA